rnacentral:rRNA from 1 species
AUGGCUUCACCUCCAUGGGUUCGCCUUGUGCUGCUACUCCUAGCCGCCGUCCCCGCAUGCCAUGGCCGCCCACUUUUUGAUGACGACGUCAACAAAAUCAUGACCACCCAGCCCCUGCCGCCAUCCGUGAUCUCCUGCUCAACUGCUGGCAACUACAGUGAUGGAAGCCAGUACCACGUGAAUCUCGAUCGGCUCUUGUCGGCCAUCCCCAUGGCCGCCGCCAAGGAUGGCGGCUUCUUCAACAGCAAAUUCGGCAUGGAGGGCGAAGAGGUCUUCGGCCUCUUCAUGUGCUAUGCCGGCGACACCGACUCUCAGUGCCAGGACUGCCUCACCCGUGCACCUGCGGGUGUCAUGAAGCUGUGCCCGCACAGCCGGACUGUUCGCGCUGUCUACAACGCCUGCACCCUUCGGUACUCUGAUGAGUCCUUCUUCUCCGUCGCCGACCUCAUAGACAUAGCCGAUCUCUCCGAUGCUCCAAACAUGGAAAUGGAACGAUCCUCUUACCGUACUCAGUACGGCGGAGGCGGAGACAGUUAUGCAGCUUGGUACCAGGGAGUCGUACCACUCGUAGGCUACGUUGUGGACACGGCCGGCAUGAGCCGCAUGAGGUCCGAGCUUAUUCGCCGGCUCAUGGGGAAGGCGGGCCAAGCGGCUGAGAGGAUCGCCUCAGGCACACAACGGUUCACUGACACACAAUGGGUGUGGGCGGUGGCGCAGUGUACGAGGGACUUGCCGGCAAGCGAAUGCACACGCUGUCUCUCCUACUAUACUGAUCAGCUGCCGCGGUUGUUCCCGAACAACAGUGGCGGCGCCAUCAAGGGGUACAGCUGCUACUUGGGGUACGCCAUCCUUGCGGACAAGCCGUCUACUGUGCGGCUUAACAGGUACCGGUACAGCGAGAACUAUGAGAGGGACAUGGCGGCCCAGAAGUUGGAGCGCGAGAAGGCGAUGGCGGAUGAGGAGUCGAGGCACAGAAAAAAGCGACGGAAGAUAGCUAUCAUUGUCAGCCUUAUUGCCAUCGCCGUGGCGCUCGUGAUCUGCCUGAUCGGCCUGUUGAUUCGGUUCAUGUGGUACCGGUGGCGAGGCUGGGUGGCAGCAGGCAGGGUUGCCAUGAGAUCAUACAUGGAAAAACCGCCGAAAGAGGCGGCCUACUUCCAUGGCAAAAGCAUACGCCAAGAUGAGCUCGAGCAAGGGGCUGGGCCAAGACGAUUCAGGUACGACGAGCUCGCGGCUGCCACCAACGGCUUCUCUGGCAGGAACAAGCUGGGAGAAGGAGGCUUUGGAUCUGUUUACCGGGGGUUCCUCCACGACAUGAACCUUCACAUCGCCGUGAAGAAAGUGUCCAAGAGCUCUCGUCAGGGCUGGAAGGAGUUUGUAUCCGAGGUGAGGAUCAUUAGCCGGCUCCGGCACCGGAACCUCGUGCCGCUUGUUGGAUGGUUCUAUGGCGGCGAUGAUGAUGGCCUUCUGCUCGUGUAUGAGCUGAUGCCCAAUGGCAGCCUUGACGCACACCUGUACAACCCGGAACAGCUGCUGCCAUGGGCAGUCAGGUACGAGGUUGCGCUCGGGGUCGGCUCCGCGCUGAUGUACCUGCACCAGGAUACGGAGCAGCGCGUCGUGCACAGGGACGUCAAGCCGAGCAACAUCAUGCUGGACGCGUCCUUCAAUGCCAAGCUCGGUGACUUUGGGCUCGCAAGGCUAGUUUGCGAUGGUCGGAGCUCAUUCACGACGGGUGCAGCCGGGACUCUCGGGUACAUGGAUCCGAAGUGUGUGUUCGUGGGUACGGCCAGUGUGGAGUCCGAUGUGUACAGCUUCGGUGUCGUCCUAGUCGAGAUGGCUUGUGGUCGGACCCCGGCGGUGGCCGAUGGCGGAGCAGUCGUCCACCUGUUGCAGUGGGUAUGGGAGUCCUACGGCAGAGGGGCCAUCCUGGAGGCAGCUGACGCCCGGCUGGACGGCAAGUUCGACGAGAAAGAGAUGGAGCGUGUCAUGGUGGUCGGGCUCUGGUGCGGGCACCCAGACCCCGGCCUGAGACCGUCCAUCAGGCAGGCUGUCAGCGUGCUGCGUUUGGAGGCGCCGCUGCCGAGCCUCCCAGCGGAGAUGCCGGUCCCAACAUACAUGAUGCAGCCAGCGGCUGAUGAAUCUAUUGGUUCUUCGGUGGUCAGUGGCGGGGAUGCCAGCACAACUCGUUCGGCUCGAGGCAAAGUCGAGUAG